rnacentral:rRNA from 1 species
AUAUCAGUCAUGCAUAGCAUAUCAAUAAGCGGAGGAAAAGAGGGCUAUUACCUACGCUUAGGAUGUUGACGCGCGUGUGUGCGUGAGUCUAUACAUGACUCUGUGCAUAUCAAUAAGCGGAGGAAAAGGCAUACCUACGCUUAGGAUGUUGACGCGCGUGUGUGCGUGAGUCUAUACAUGACUCUGUGCAUAUCAAUAAGCGGAGGAAAAGAAACUAACAAGGAUUCCCCUAGUAACGGCGAGUGAAGCGGGAAGAGCUCAAAUUUGAAAUCUUAAAGGGUUUCCCUUUACGAAUUGUAGUUUAAAGAAGUGUUUUCUGUUGAGGUUUUGGUAAAAGUUCUUUGGAAUAGGACAUCAUAGAGGGUGAGAAUCCCGUAUUUGACCUUUAUCAUUUCUAGCUUUGUGAUACACUUUCAAAGAGUCGGAUUGUUUGGGAAUGCAGUCCAAAAUGGGUGGUAAAUUUCAUCUAAAGCUAAAUAUUGGCGAGAGACCGAUAGCGAACAAGUACCGUGAGGGAAAGAUGAAAAGAACUUUGAAAAGAGAGUUAAACAGUACGUGAAAUUGUCAAAAGGGAAGCGUUUGACACCAGUGUUGUUUUUCUGAAAAUCAAUUAAAGAACUGUUUAUGCUAAGUUGUUUAGACUUUAUCAGCUAACUGUUUAGUUUUGAGCUUUUCUUUAAUGCACUUUUCAGUUAACAAGUCAACAUCAAUUUCUUUUGCUGUAAAAAAGCUUGUGGAAGGUGGCUUGAGAUUCGUCUUAAGUGUUUAUAGCCUCUUGCCUAUGCAGUCGGAGAGAUUGAGGUCUGCAGCGUAGAUCCUUCGGGGCUAAAUGCAUUUGUGCUAAGUUAUAGCAUUUUAUAGACAACUUGUUGACUAUGAUUUGUCUUGUAGCUUACUCGCUUAUGUUAUUUUACCUACGCUUAGGAUGUUGACGCGCGUGUGUGCGUG